rnacentral:misc_RNA from 1 species
AACGCACAUUGCGCCCUUUGGUAUUCCGAAGGGCAUGCCUGUUCGAGCGUCAUUUCAAACCUUCAAGCACCGCUUGGUCUUGGGCGUCGGUCCCUCCCGGGACCCGCUCGCAACCCGUCGGCGGUACCGUCCGACCCCUAGCGUAGCAAGAAUCUUCCCUCGCUCCGGGGCUCGCGGCGGUGCCUGCCGGUGAACAAACCCCCCGGUUUGACCUCGGAUCAGGUAGGGAUACCCGCUGAACUUAA